AAUUACUCAAAAAGUUGAGUAAAACGUUAUUUUUACUCAAUUCAUGCGUAGAUUUACGCGAAUACCGAGGGGUUCCACUCAAAAUUUUGAGUAAAGUGUUUACGCAAAUGUUUGAGUAAAUUGUUUUGAGUAACUUUGGAUGAUAUACUCAACAAGCCGAGUAAAUAUACUCACAUUGAGUAAAAUAACUCAAUUUUACGAUAAAACUUGAUAAUUUACUCAAACAUUGAGUAAACUGAUUAUUUGCAAUUACAUUUUACUCAAGGUCUGAGUAAAAUGAAUGCUUCAGUUUAACGGUUUUACUCAAGUAUUGAGUAAAAUUACUCAACAUGAUCAUUUGCUGGUAAUUUUACACACUUCACGAGUAAAAGAGUAAAGUGAAUAAUUUGCGUAGUGGAAGCACUGCGAAUGUAUGAAUUUUAGUCUUUGGUAACUGAUAAGUCGCAGAGUCUGUUGUGCGUUAGAAUCUGUUGAAUAAUCUGCGCUGGACGUUAAAAGCCAAAAAGAUGGAAAAAUCAAUUGACGGGUUAAAAGAGUAGUUGGUGGAAAUGGGUUUUGAGGAUUAUAUUGUGCGCAAUUUGAAGGGGCCCUGGAAAAAGUGAUUUCAACAAAAGGGAAUGAAAUUUUUGAAAAUGCUGGAAGAGAGUGCUGGAAAUGGCAUUCAGGAAUCAGGAAAUUGGAAUGAGUUGAACGGACUGAAGUCGCAUUGUCUACCUUCGUACCAUUUAUCAAUGAAAAUGAAGAUAUUGAGAAGAUGAUUAAGAAAAGCUAUAAACACUAUGACCGCAUGACCCUAACAUGCAUAAUGAUAAAUAUAUACGCAUGAUUCUUAAACGUACAUUACCGUAUUUUAUAAAUUAUAAAUUUAUGCAAUAUAAAAUUGUUUCACUCGUGGUUGCGUGUAAUUUCUUUACUUAAAUCCGAAUUUU